AAGUCGUAACAAGGUUUCCGUAGGUGAACCUGCGGAAGGAUCAUUAAUGGAUUGCGAAUGGUUACCUUCGGUGCUGGCUCUUGCAAGUGCACGUUGGUCGGCUUUCCAAUCCGAAUACCCUUGUGAAGCCUUUUGGCCGUCUUGCUAGCUUCGGCUGGCAGAGGAUUUUUUACACACUCGAAUGUAAUGAAAACUAUUGUCGUGCGCAAGCACUAAUGUACAA
rnacentral:misc_RNA from 1 species